rnacentral:rRNA from 1 species
UACGUAGGGUGCAAGCGUUGUCCGGAAUUAUUGGGCGUAAAGAGCUCGUAGGCGGUUCGUCGCGUCGGCUGUGAAAUCCCCGAGGCUCAACCUCGGGUCUGCAGUCGAUACGGGCGGACUGGAGUUCGGCAGGGGAGACUGGAAUUCCUGGUGUAGCGGUGAAAUGCGCAGAUAUCAGGAGGAACACCGGUGGCGAAGGCGGGUCUCUGGGCCGAAUACUGACGCUGAGGAGCGAAAAGCGUGGGGAGCGAAACGG